rnacentral:rRNA from 1 species
CGAUUCAGCGGCGGACGGGUGAGUAAUGCCUAGGAAUCUGCCUGGUAGUGGGGGACAACGUUUCGAAAGGAACGCUAAUACCGCAUACGUCCUACGGGAGAAAGCAGGGGACCUUCGGGCCUUGCGCUAUCAGAUGAGCCUAGGUCGGAUUAGCUAGUUGGUGGGGUAAAGGCUCACCAAGGCGACGAUCCGUAACUGGUCUGAGAGGAUGAUCAGUCACACUGGAACUGAGACACGGUCCAGACUCCUACGGGAGGCAGCAGUGGGGAAUAUUGGACAAUGGGCGAAAGCCUGAUCCAGCCAUGCCGCGUGUGUGAAGAAGGUCUUCGGAUUGUAAAGCACUUUAAGUUGGGAGGAAGGGCAUUAACCUAAUACGUUAGUGUUUUGACGUUACCGACAGAAUAAGCACCGGCUAACUCUGUGCCAGCAGCCGCGGUAAUACAGAGGGUGCAAGCGUUAAUCGGAAUUACUGGGCGUAAAGCGCGCGUAGGUGGUUUGUUAAGUUGGAUGUGAAAUCCCCGGGCUCAACCUGGGAACUGCAUCCAAAACUGGCAAGCUAGAGUAGGGCAGAGGGUGGUGGAAUUUCCUGUGUAGCGGUGAAAUGCGUAGAUAUAGGAAGGAACACCAGUG